rnacentral:rRNA from 1 species
UACGUAGGGUGCAAACGUUGUUCGGAAUCACUGGGCAUAAAGAGCGCGUAGGCGGUCUGAUAAGUCCUGUGUGAAAGCCCCCGGCUUAACCGGGGAAUUGCACAGGAUACUGUCAGGCUAGAGUGCAGGAGGGGAGAGCGGAAUUCCUGGUGGAGCGGUGAAAUGCGUAGAUAUCAGGAGGAACGCCGGUGGCGAAAGCGGCUCUCUGGUCUGCAACUGACGCUGAGGUGCGAAAGCUAGGGGAGCAAACGGG